GGCCGGUUAGCUCAGCUGGAAGAGCGGCAGCCUUCUAAGCUGCAGGUCGUGGGUUCGAGCCCCACAUUGGUCG
rfam:Dictyostelium fasciculatum unplaced genomic scaffold Scf_ET2XIPL01CNAVH-3, whole genome shotgun sequence.